rnacentral:rRNA from 1 species
CAACGGGGAUUGCCUUAGUAGCGGCGAGUGAAGCGGCAAGAGCUCAGAUUUGAAAUCUCACCUAGUGUGCGAGUUGUAAAUUGCAGGUUGGAGUCUCGGGUUAGACGUGUGUGCAAGUCCCUUGGAACAGGGUGCCACUGAGGGUGAGAGCCCCGUAUCGUGCAUGUCGACACCUGUGAGGCCCUUCUGACGAGUCGAGUUGUUUGGGAAUGCAGCUCUAAGUGGGUGGUAAAUUCCAUCUAAGGCUAAAUAUUGGCGAGAGACCGAUAGCGAACAAGUACUGUGAAGGAAAGAUGAAAAGCACUUUGAAAAGAGAGUGAAACAGCACGUGAAAUUGUUGAAAGGGAAGGGUAUUGGGCUCGACAUGGGAUUUACGCAUCGUUGCCUCUCGUGGGCGGCGCUCUGGGUUUUUCCUGGGCCAGCAUCGGUUUUCGUUGCAGGAUAAGGACAAUUGGAAUGUGGCUCCUCGGAGUGUUAUAGCCUUUUGUAGAUGCUGCGUAUGGGGACCGAGGGCUGCGGCGGACUCGUUUCGUCUCGGAUGCUGGCACAACGGCGCAAUACCGCCCGUCUUGAAACACGGACCA